rnacentral:SRP_RNA from 1 species
GCCGGGCGAGGUGGCUCACGCCUGUAAUUCCAGCACUUUGGGAGGCCGAGGCAGGCGGAUCACCUGAGGUCAGGAGUUCCAGACCAGCCUGACCAACAUGGUGAAACCCUGUCUCUA